rnacentral:rRNA from 1 species
GCUUGUCUCAAAGAUUAAGCCAUGCAUGUCUUAGUGUAAAUAACUCUUAUGAAACUGCGAAUGGCUCAUUAAAUCAGUUAUCAAAUACGUGAUGGUCGCCUACUACAUGGAUAACCGUAGUAAUUCUAGAGCUAAUACAUGCACAAAGGCCCACUCACGUGGGCCUUUGUGCAUGUAUUUAUUAGAUACAGAAUCAAUACGUGUUCUGCACGUUCUAUUGAUGAAUCAUAAUAACUGUUCGAAUCGCACGGGCAACCGGCGAUAGUUCAUUCAAAUUUCUGCCCUAUCAGCUUUCGACGGUAGUGUAGUGGACUACCGUGGCGUUAACGGGUAACGGAGAAUUAGGGUUUGAUUCCGGAGAGGGAGCCUGAGAGAUGGCUACCACAUCCAAGGAAGGCAGCAGG